rnacentral:rRNA from 1 species
GACGAACCGUGCGAACGUUAUUCGGAAUCACUGGGCUUAAAGGGCGCGUAGGCGGGUUGCCAAGUCUGUGGUGAAAUCCUCCAGCUUAACUGGAGAACGGCCGUGGAUACUGGCGACCUCGAGGGGGGUAGGGGCUUGCGGAACUGUGCGUGGAGCGGUGAAAUGCGUUGAUAUCGAGAGGAACACCUGCGGCGAAGGCGGGUUGCUGGGCCGACACUGACGCUGAGGCGCGAAAGCCAGGGGAGCGAACGGG